rnacentral:rRNA from 1 species
UGGGGAAUAUUGGACAAUGGGCGCAAGCCUGAUCCAGCCAUGCCGCGUGAGUGAUGAAGGCCUUAGGGUUGUAAAGCUCUUUCGUCGGGGAAGAUAAUGACGGUACCCGAAGAAGAAGCCUCGGCUAACUCCGUGCCAGCAGCCGCGGUAAGACGGAGGAGGCUAGCGUUGUUCGGAAUUACUGGGCGUAAAGCGUACGCAGGCGGUUGAUCAAGUCAGGUGUGAAAGCCCGGGGCUCAACCUCGGAAUUGCGCCUGAGACUGGUCGGCUAGAGUUCGGAAGAGGAGAGUGGAAUUCCCAGUGUAGAGGUGAAAUUCGUAGAUAUUGGGAAGAACACCAGUGGCGAAGGCGACUCUCUGGUCCGAUACUGACGCUCAAGUACGAAAGCGUGGGGAGCAAACAGG